AAACAUUAAUCCUCAUAAACAUGUUCUUCCAAAAUGUUUUCUUACCUUCUGCAGAUUGUUCCAAAGUACAAAACGGCGGUCCACGCACCACUACCUCCUGCAUAAUGAUGGAAAAGCUGUAAACAUCUCCGGAGAAAGAGCCAUGCAGCGCCGCAUGUGGGUCCCUCAGUAACUCUGGUGACGUCCACAGUAACUCUAUAAGAACAGAGUCAUUCAUAGGAGGGACACCUGUAAUACUAUUUGGCAUGGAAUAUGUCACAGAUGCAGGGAAUAUAAUUUAUAUUAUAGGAAGACUGCAGCAAGAUUUCCUCCAAUAACAACAAUGUUUGAACACU